rnacentral:rRNA from 1 species
GAUGAACGCUGGCGGCGUGCCUAAUACAUGCAAGUCGAGCGAACGGACGAGAAGCUUGCUUCUCUGAUGUUAGCGGCGGACGGGUGAGUAACACGUGGAUAACCUACCUAUAAGACUGGGAUAACUUCGGGAAACCGGAGCUAAUACCGGAUAAUAUUUUGAACCGCAUGGUUCAAAAGUGAAAGACGGUCUUGCUGUCACUUAUAGAUGGAUCCGCGCUGCAUUAGCUAGUUGGUAAGGUAACGGCUUACCAAGGCAACGAUGCAUAGCCGACCUGAGAGGGGGAUCGGCCACACUGGAACUUAGACACGGUCCAGACUCCUACGGGAGGCAGCAGUAGGGAAUCUUCCGCAAUGGGCGAAAGCCUGACGGAGCAACGCCGCGUGAGUGAUGAAGGUCUUCGGAUCGUAAAACUCUGUUAUUAGGGAAGAACAUAUGUGUAAGUAACCGUGCACAUCUUGACGGUACCUAAUCAGAAAGCCACGGCUAACUACGUG